AGCUACCGGGCCUAUCGCGUCGCCGGGUCGCCGCCGCGACGCGCAGCCCGCCUGCUGCACCGCCUCAGACCAAAGGCGCGGGAGGAGGAGAAGAGAGGGAGAGAGCGCGUGCAGAGCGAAUUGGCAACGGGGGCAUUGUUUUUGAUACUUGGAGAAGGAAGAUGCAAUCUGUUGGCUAUGCCGGGUUGAUGCACCAGACUUCGAUAUGAUGUUGCUUACUGACAGAAAUGAAGCUAUGUGACUUGACCAUGGUGGAUGAUCUAUGGCGCACUUGUGUACAUGGAACUUUCUGAAUACAUGAAAUACCUAGAUGUUUCUAGGAUACAGGAGUUUUAAAAACAAUCAUCACUAGAACGGUGGCUUCUGCAUAUGUGAUGCUCAAUUCGACCACGGUGUCUAGCAAAGCCAAUAGAGGGAACAUGUUGUCUAUUCCUCGCAGUUACGCAUAAAAUCUUGCUUCCUUAUGUGAACCAAGCGAAGGAACCGGUGGCUGGCAAUUUCCUGGAAAGAUUCAGAUGGGGAAUGGGAACAGGGUUGGUUGCUGUGUGACACUGUAGGUGUAGCACGUCCUUUUCUUUUCGUGUCCCUAGUCAACAAUAUCUGGCCUUUCUUGCAUGGAAAAUUUGGAAGAAAGCCACCAAGGAUGACCACCUCAACUUAAUAGUAGUACUGUAUGAUUUUUUGAAGGGGAAGGUGAGACUAAGUUAUCAGGUGCCUCCCAGUGUAUUGUAUGUAAUUGAUGAAGGAACGUGCAUGAUUGAGCUUUUUUUUAAAUAUAAAAUAUGCUCCCUCCGUUCCAUAAUAAGCGUCGUGGUUUUAGUUCAAAUUUAAACUAAAACCAUGACGCUUAUAUGGAAUGGAGGGGCUCAGAGACUA